rnacentral:rRNA from 1 species
GUGAGGAAUAUUGGUCAAUGGGGGAAACCCUGAACCAGCGACGCCGCGUGUGGGACGAAGGGGCUUUGCCCUGUAAACCACUGUUGAGAGGGAAGAAAUGCUUUUUUUGAAAGCGGGGACUGUACCUCUUAAGAAAGGAUCGGCUAACUACGUGCCAGCAGCCGCGGUAAUACGUAGGAUCCAAGCGUUGUCCGGAAUCACUGGGUGUAAAGGGUGCGUAGGCGGGCUUGUGCGUCAGAGGUUAAAUCCCACAGCUUAACUGUGGAACUGCCUUUGAUACGGCAAGUCUUGAGUGUGAGAGAGGGUGGUAGAAUUCUUGGUGUAGCGGUGAAAUGCGUAGAUAUCAAGAGGAAUACCCGUGGCGAAGGCGGCCAUCUGGCUCACUACUGACGCUGAGGCACGAAAGCGUGGGGAGCAAACAGGAUUAGAAACCCUGGUAGUCC